rnacentral:lncRNA from 1 species
AUGACUUCAAAAGACUGCGGCAACCAUAGGCACAAGCAUCAUAAGCUGAGGCGAUGCUUCGCCGGAUUGCUUAUCUUCUUCUUCAUCGUCCUCCUCGUCGUACUCCUGGUGUGGGCAAUCCUCCAGCCCAAGGACCCACGCUUCGUCCUCCAAGACGCCACCAUCUACGCCCUCAACGUCUCCACCCCGAAUAUCCUCACCGUCAACAUCCAAGUCACCAUCACCACCCGCAACCCCAACGACAAGAUCGGCAUCUACUAUGAGAAACUCGACACCUACGCCACCUACCGCGGCCAGCAGAUUACCCUCGCGUACCUCAUCCCCCCCACCUACCAGGGCCACAAGGAGAUCAUCACCUGGUCACCUUUUCUCUCCGGCACGGCCGUACCCGUGGCUCC